rnacentral:rRNA from 1 species
AGAGUUUGAUCAUGGCUCAGAUUGAACGCUGGCGGCAGGCCUAACACAUGCAAGUCGAGCGGCAGCGGGAAGUAGCUUGCUACUUUGCCGGCGAGCGGCGGACGGGUGAGUAACGCGUGGGAAUCUACCCAUUUGUGGGGGAUAACUUGGGGAAACCCAAGCUAAUACCGCAUAAUCCCUACGGGGGAAAGCAGGGGACCUUCGGACCUUGCGCAGAUGGAUGAGCCCGCGUCGGAUUAGCUAGUUGGUAGGGUAAAGGCCUACCAAGGCGACGAUCCGUAACUGGUCUGAGAGGAUGACCAGUCACAUCGGGACUGAGACACGGCCCGAACUCCUACGGGAGGCAGCAGUGGGGAAUCUUGGACAAUGGGGGCAACCCUGAUCCAGCCAUGCCGCGUGUGUGAAGAAGGCCCUAGGGUUGUAAAGCACUUUCAGUAGGGAGGAAGGCUUCGGGUUAAUACCCUGGAGUACUUGACGUUACCUACAGAAGAAGCACCGGCUAAUUUCGUGCCAGCCGCCGCGGUAAUAC